UCUGGUUGAUCCUGCCAGUAGUUAUAUGCUUGUCUCAAAGAUUAAGCCAUGUAUGUCUAAGUACACACGAAUUAAAAGUGAAACCGCAAAAGGCUCAUUAUAUCAGUUAUGGUUCCCUAGAUCGUUAACAGUUACUUGGAUAACUGUGGUAAUUCUAGAGCUAAUACAUGCAAUUAAAACACGGACCUUAUGGGACGUGUGCUUUUAUUAGGCUAAAACCAAGCGAUCGUAAGAUCGUUACAUUGGUUGAACUCUAGAUAACAUGCAGAUCGUAUGGUCUUGUACCGACGACAGAUCUUUCAAAUGUCUGCCCUAUCAACUUUUGAUGGUAGUAUCUAGGACUACCAUGGUUGCAACAGGUAACGGGGAAUCAGGGUUCGAUUACGGAGAGGGAGCCUGAGAAACGGCUACCACAUCUAAGGAAGACAGCAGACGCGUAAAUUACCCACUCCCAGAUCGGGGAGGUAGUGACGAUAUAACAAUAUAGGACUCAUAUCCGAAGCCCUGUAAUUGGAAUGAGUACACUUUUAAUCCUUUAACAAGGACCAAUUGGAGGGCAAGUCUGGUGCCAGCAGCCGCGGUAAUUCCAGCUCCAAUAGCGUAUAUUAAAGUUGUUGCGGUUAAAACGUUCGUAGUUGAACUUGUGCUUCAUACGGGUGGUAUACCUUACAAUUGUAGUUGGUACUAUACCUUUAUGUAUGUAAGCGUAUUACCGGUGGAGUUCUUAUGUAUAAUUAAGUACUUGUAUUUUUUUAUAUAUUCCUCCUAUUUAAAAACCUGCAUUAGUGCUCUUCAUCGAGUGUUAUUGUGGGCCGGUACAAUUACUUUGAACAAAUUAGAGUGCUUGAAGCAGGCUCUUCUGCUCUCAUUGGUUUUCAGAUCAAGAGGUAAUGAUUAAUAGAAGCAGUUUGGGGGCAUUAGUAUUACGACGCGAGAGGUGAAAUUCUUGGACCGUCGUAAGACUAACUUAAGCGAAAACAUUUGCCAAAGAUGUUUUCAUUAAUCAAGAACGAAAGUUAGAGGUUCGAAGGCGAUCAGAUACCGCCCUAGUUCUAACCAUAAACGAUGCCAGCUAGCAAUUGGGUGUAGCUACUUUUAUGGCUCUCUCAGUCGCUUCCCGGGAAACCAAAGCUUUUGGGCUCCGGGGGAAGUAUGGUUGCAAAUUUGACUCAAUACGGGAAAACUUACCAGGUCCGAACAUAAGUGUGAAAGACAGAUUGAUAGCUCUUUCUCGAAUCUAUGGGUGGUGGUGCAUGGCCGUUCUUAGUUCGUAGAGUGAUUUGUCUGGUUAAUUCCGAUAACGAACGAGACUCAAAUAUAUUAAAUAGAUAUCUUCAGGAUUAUGGUGUUGAAGCUUAUAUAGCCUUCAUUCAUGGUGGCAGUAAAAUGUUUAUUGUGCUUCAAUGUGUUUAUAUAAGUGGAGCCGUACCUGUUGGAUUGUCCUAUUGUAAGAACAAUAGCUUCUUAAAUGGACAAAUUGCGUCUAGCAAUAAUGAGAUUGAGCAAUAACAGGUCUGUGAUGCCCUUAGAUGUCCUGGGCUGCACGCGCGCUACAAUGAAAGUAUCAACGUGUAUUUCCUAGACCGAGAGGUCCGGGUAAACCGCUGAACCACUUUCAUGCUUGGGAUUGUGAACUGAAACUGUUCACAUGAACUUGGAAUUCCCAAUAAGUGUGAGUCAUUAACUCGCUUUGAUUACGUCCCUGCCGUUUGUACACACCGCCCGUCGCUACUACCGAUUGAAUUAUUUAGUGAGGUCUCCGGACGUGAUCACUGUGACGCCUUGCGUGUUAUUGUUGUUUUGCAAAAGUUGACCGAACUUGAUUAUUUAGAGGAAGUAAAAGUCGUAACAAGGUUUCCUUAGGUGAACCUGCGGAAG
rnacentral:rRNA from 1 species